UACGUAGGGAGCGAGCGUUGUCCGGAUUCAUUGGGCGUAAAGAGCUCGUAGGCGGCUUGAUAAGUCGGAUGUGAAACCUCCAGGCUCAACCUGGAGUCGCCAUCCGAUACUGUCAUAGCUAGAGUCCGGUAGGGGCCCACGGAACUCCUGGUGUAGCGGUGAAAUGCGCAGAUAUCAGGAAGAACACCAGUGGCGAAGGCGGUGGGCUGGGCCGGUACUGACGAUGAGGAGCGAAAGCGUGGGGAGCGAACAGG
rnacentral:rRNA from 1 species